GCCUGGGAUAGCUCAGUUGGUAGAGCACGAGACUCUUAAUCUCAGGGUCUUGGGUUUGAGCCCCACGUUGGGCA
rnacentral:tRNA from 1 species